rnacentral:rRNA from 1 species
GGGUGAGUAACACGUGAGUAACCUGCCCCAGGCUUUGGGAUAACCCCGGGAAACCGGGGCUAAUACCGGAUAUGACUGGCUGCCGCAUGGUGGUUGGUGGAAAGAUUUUUCGGCUUGGGAUGGACUCGCGGCCUAUCAGCUUGUUGGUGGGGUAAUGGCCUACCAAGGCGGCGACGGGUAGCCGGCCUGAGAGGGCGACCGGCCACACUGGGACUGAGACACGGCCCAGACUCCUACGGGAGGCAGCAGUGGGGAAUCUUGCACAAUGGGCGGAAGCCUGAUGCAGCGACGCCGCGUGAGGGAUGACGGCCUUCGGGUUGUAAACCUCUUUCAGCAGGGACGAAGCGUUUGUGACGGUACCUGCAGAAGAAGCGCCGGCCAACUACGUGCCAGCAGCCGCGGUAAGACGUAGGGCGCGAGCGUUGUCCGGAUUUAUUGGGCGUAAAGAGCUCGUAGGCGGCUUGUCGCGUCGACUGUGAAAACCCGUGGCUCAACUUCGGGCUUGCAGUCGAUACGGGCAGGCUAGAGUUCGGUAGGGGAGACUGGAAUUCCUGGUGUAGCGGUGAAAUGCGCAGAUAUCAGGAGGAACACCGGUGGCGAAGGCGGGUCUCUGGGCCGAUACUGACGCUGAGGAGCGAAAGCGUGGGGAGCGAACAGGAUUAGAUACCCUGGUAGUCCACGCUGUAAACGUUGGGCGCUAGGUGUGGGGGGCCUCUCCGGUUCUCUGUGCCGCAGCUAACGCAUUAAGCG